AACGAACGCUGGCGGCAGGCCUAACACAUGCAAGUCGAGCGCCCAGCAAUGGGAGCGGCAGACGGGUGAGUAACACGUGGGAACCUUCCCUAUAGUACGGAAUAGCCCAGGGAAACUUGGAGUAAUACCGCAUACGCCCGAGAGGGGAAAGAUUUAUCGCUAUAGGAUGGGCCCGCGUAGGAUUAGCUAGUUGGUGAGGUAAUGGCUCACCAAGGCGACGAUCCUUAGCUGGUCUGAGAGGACGACCAGCCACACUGGGACUGAGACACGGCCCAGACUCCUACGGGAGGCAGCAGUGGGGAAUAUUGGACAAUGGGCGCAAGCCUGAUCCAGCCAUGCCGCGUGAGUGAUGAAGGCCUUAGGUUGUAAAGCUCUUUUGCCGGGGACGAUAAUGACGGUACCCGGAGAAUAAGUCCCGGCUAACUUCGUGCCAGCAGCCGCGGUAAU
rnacentral:rRNA from 1 species